rnacentral:rRNA from 1 species
GACGAACGCUGGCGGCGUGCCUAAUACAUGCAAGUUGAGCGCUGAAGGUUGGUACUUGUACCAACUGGAUGAGCAGCGAACGGGUGAGUAACGCGUGGGGAAUCUGCCUUUGAGCGGGGGACAACAUUUGGAAACGAAUGCUAAUACCGCAUAAAAACUUUAAACACAAGUUUUAAGUUUGAAAGAUGCAAUUGCAUCACUCAAAGAUGAUCCCGCGUUGUAUUAGCUAGUUGGUGAGGUAAAGGCUCAC